UACGAAGGGGGCUAGCGUUGUUCGGAUUUACUGGGCGUAAAGCGCACGUAGGCGGAUCGUUAAGUCGGGGGUGAAAUCCUGGAGCUCAACUCCAGAACUGCCUUCGAUACUGGCGAUCUCGAGUCCGGAAGAGGUGAGUGGAACUCCGAGUGUAGAGGUGAAAUUCGUAGAUAUUCGGAAGAACACCAGUGGCGAAGGCGACUCACUGGACACGUAUUGACGCUGAGGUGCGAAAGCGUGGGGAGCAAACAGG
rnacentral:rRNA from 1 species